CGGCGCCACGGGUGCCCGAGCGAUGGCGUAGCCGGUUGUAAAAACGGGCUGAAGCAAACUUGAAAAACUUUUAAUUCCUUUUUCCCGAAAUAAGCAUCGCUUGCAACGUCUGACUGCUGGAGCGAGCGCCCCGCCAUGGCGGCCCUGCGGCCGGACAAACGGGCGGCGGGACGGAGCGCGUGCGCAGCAAAAUAACGAGGCUGUGUGGUACCUUUUUGUCCGAUACGUCAGUUACCUUGCUUCCCGGUACCAGUAACGCUCAAGCUGUUGGGUAAAACCACCGUUGCAACGUCAGCCUUUCAGCCUGCACAGACACGGCUAUUCCUGGCUUUUCAUGCCGCCAAAAAAUGUUCUGAAGCGUUUAAAAAGCACGUAACAGCAUAAGGGAGCGGGCUUAGGAGCACUGGGUAAUGUUGGGAUAUUUUAAGUUUCAAAACAGCAACACCGGCAAUCAAACCAUUGAAUUCAAACUCUCUAAGGCUGUGGAACAAACCUUGAGGAGAAGCCAGGUACUCAAACAAAAUCACCAACACACAGCAGCACAGCAAGUCAAUUCCUAGGGGAUAGCUAUGGAUUAUUUGCUUAAAAGGACGUAAAACAUUGGAAUUAUUUAUUUUUAUGCUUACAUACGCCAUGAGCCAAUUUGUUUUAAAUGGAGAGGUGAAGUGAAGACGUAGGAAUGUUUAAGGACAUCGGAAAAUCAGAGCCUGCAAGUUAACUAGAAGGGUUAAAGCCAUUUCAACACCUAAUUAUUCAAAUGCCAUUUGAGGAGAGGAUGGCUUGUCCGUUCUACAGUCACAAUGUACAUGAAGUUAUUUAAGAUGUGUAGCACCACGCUUGCACUGCAGUGGACCAAAGAAAGCAAGCUGAACCCUUACAAUCAA